rnacentral:rRNA from 1 species
CAGUAGCCGCGGUAAUACGUAGGUGGCAAGCGUUGUCCGGAAUUAUUGGGCGUAAAGCGCGCGCAGGCGGAUAGGUCAGUCUGUCUUAAAAGUUCGGGGCUUAACCCCGUGAUGGGAUGGAAACUGCCAAUCUAGAGCAUCGGAGGGGAAAGUGGAAUUCCUAGUGUAGCGGUGAAAUGCGUAGAUAUUAGGAAGAACACCAGUGGCGAAGGCGACUUUCUGGACGAAAACUGACGCUGAGGCGCGAAAGCCAGGGGAGCGAACGGGAUUAGAUACCCGCGUAGUCCCUGUCUCUUAUACA